rnacentral:rRNA from 1 species
GACGAACGCUGGCGGCGUGCUUAACACAUGCAAGUCGAACGAUGAAGAAGAGAAACGCGAACUUCGGUUCAAAUUUCACUUCGGAUUAGUGGCAGACGGGUGAGUAACGCGUGAGCAACCUACCUCUUACAAAGGGAUAGCCUCGGGAAACCGUGAUUAAUACCAUAUGACACAUUCAUAAGGCAUCUUAAGAAUGUUAAAGCUACGGCGGUAAGAGAUGGGCUCGCGUCCCAUUAGCUAGUUGGUGAGGUAACGGCCCACCAAGGCGACGAUGGGUAACCGGCCUGAGAGGGUGAACGGUCACAUUGGAACUGAGACACGGUCCAAACUCCUACGGGAGGCAGCAGUGGGGAAUAUUGCACAAUGGAGGGAACUCUGAUGCAGCGACGCCGCGUGAGCGAUGAAGGAAUUCGUUUCGUAAAGCUCUGUUCUAUGGGAAGAAAAGGACUGUACCAUAGGAGAAAGCCCCGGCUAAAUACG